rnacentral:sRNA from 1 species
GCCACAGCCCGCGCAGUUGCCGGGGAUCGCGCUCAGCCCCGCGAGCCGAGGCAGCGCAGCCUAGGGAGGGGGCUGCCCCGGCCCCCUCCUGCAGCCCGGGCCCCCAGAGGCUCGGCCUUCCUCGCAGGAAGGCGAAGUCCCCGGUGCCAGGUCCGGGGACCAGCAGCCGAGAACGCCCGGGUCCCGGAGCCAACAGGCAGGCUCCGAGUGCCCUCGCUCCCCGCGCCUUCCCGGAGCCCCCCGCAGCCCCCGAGGUGCAGGAAGGUCCCGCGGACGGAGCGGGCCUGCCGGCAUUCAGUGGGGUUCUUGGUGAAGCACUUGGCACGCAUCGGAGCUCAUUACUCCUCAUCGUGGUCCUGUAAGGAAGUUUGAGGCUGAGACCUGAAAACACCUGGGUGCAAGCCUCCAGGCACCCUGAAGGGAGUGGGCUGAGGGCUGGCCCAGGUUCCCUCCUCUCCCUCUGCAGAGCCUAGGAUGCCUCUCCGCUACAGCGGCUCCUGAGCUCAUGGAGCCCUCAGCCACCCCAGGGGCCCAGAUGGGGGUCCCCCCUGCCAGCAGAGAGCCGUCCCCUGUGCCUCCAGACUAUGAAGACGAGUUUCUCCGCUAUCUGUGGCGUGAUUAUCUGUACCCAAAACAGUACGAGUGGGUCCUCAUCGCAGCCUAUGUGGCUGUGUUCGUCGUGGCCCUGGUGGGCAACACGCUGGGCCGUGUCCGUGUCAGUGGCAGUGCUAACUCUCAGCUUCAUCGCCCUGGACCGCUGGUAUGCCAUCUGCCACCCACUAUUGUUCAAGAGCACAGCCCGGCGGGCCCGUGGCUCCAUCCUGGGCAUCUGGGCUGUGUCGCUGGCCGUCAUGGUGCCCCAGGCUGCAGUCAUGGAAUGCAGCAGUGUGCUGCCCGAGCUAGCCAACCGCACACGGCUCUUCUCGGUCUGUGAUGAACGCUGGGCAGAUGACCUCUAUCCCAAGAUCUACCACAGUUGCUUCUUUAUUGUCACCUACCUGGCCCCACUGGGCCUCAUGGCCAUGGCCUAUUUCCAGAUAUUCCGCAAGCUCUGGGGCCGCCAGAUCCCCGGCACCACCUCAGCACUGGUGCGGAACUGGAAGCGCCCCUCAGACCAGCUGGGGGACCUGGAGCAGGGCCUGAGUGGAGAGCCCCAGCCCCGGGCCCGCGCCUUCCUGGCUGAAGUGAAGCAGAUGCGUGCGCGGAGGAAGACAGCCAAGAUGCUGAUGGUGGUGCUGCUGGUCUUCGCCCUCUGCUACCUGCCCAUCAGUGUCCUCAAUGUCCUUAAGAGGGUGUUCGGGAUGUUCCGCCAAGCCAGCGACCGUGAAGCUGUCUACGCCUGCUUCACCUUCUCCCACUGGCUGGUGUACGCCAACAGCGCUGCCAACCCCAUCAUCUACAACUUCCUCAGUGGCCUUCCCUGGAGUCUGCUCUAAAGGUCCCAACAGGCAUUUCCAUCUUGUUCCGUGGCUCCCUGAAGCCCAGGGCUGCACUUGGCCAGCUGUUCUGAUGCCUGUGUGAACCAAUCUGGGCCCAGUCUUUCUCCAGUGGGCCACGAGCGCAGCCCCACCCUAACCAGGUGCCAAGGGCACACACCACAGACCCGACCUUGUUGGCUUUGUGGUGUGAUAAAAACACUCUCCAUGGCCACUUGGCACAGAGGCCAGCAGCCCGAAGCAACUGUAAUUAAAAGCCUGGCACUGAA